AGUCAACACUUGUUGUGCAAUAAUUCUAUUUUUUAAGGGAAAAUAGAACGUUUGCUAAUCGCAGCGCGCGCUCUGUUCUGCUUCUAAAGAAAGGGUCUCUGAGGUCGCUGUGGCGUUCUUAAUCUCGAGGAGGCACAGCAGCUCAGGGUUACAGAAAGCAGUGUGCCAUGCAGUCAUUCUCCGGCCAGGAUAGCAAUGUUAAGAAGAUGAGAGGAGCAAAGAUUUGACAGACAGCAACUGUAAGAUGGUGUAAUGUUCCCAGAGCGCGAUGCUUCCUUCCUUCUCUGAUGUGGACAGUGCAGCAGUUCCACUGGCUGCAACACAAGACACGAGCGGGAGUGAGAGGCAGCUCCCAUGUCCUGUGUUGCAGCCCCCGGCCCAGCCACAGGUCACCUUCAGCUCUUCUGCUUCUGCUGCCUUGCUGCAAAAAAAGAUAGAGAGGCACACACUGAGUGUAAAGGAGAGAAAGAGAGAAAGAAUGCUUCCAUGCCUUGAACACCACAUCCAUCACAAACACUGAAAAUAGCCUUCCUGUUUCAUCUGGUAUCGGAGUAGCCCUACCCCUCACGCAUGACCACGCCAGGGGAACGCAGCCACUCUGGCCCAAAUUGCUUAAAGUGAGGUUAAUGACAUCGUAAGGCACCUUCCAGCAAAGACAGAGAAUCUCUCGAGAGUCUUCCUCAGAUAUCGAACAAAGUCAGAGCAAAGCAUUUCUAUUUUUAUCACAGGUGAAAGACGGCAAUCAGUGAAAUCUCGCAG
ensembl:lncRNA